rnacentral:rRNA from 1 species
CUGAUUCAGGGAUAGAGGGGGAUUAACACGUAGCCCAUCUGCCGAGUAGUGUCUCACAUUUUUUGAACGCACCUCUACUACCGCAUAUGUGGGACGAGAACAAAGCAGGGGACCUUCGGGCCUCGCGCUAUCAGAUGAGCCUAGCUCGGAUUAGAUACUUGGUGGGGUAAUGGCUCACCAUGGCGCCGAUAAGUAACUGGUCUGAGAGGAUGAUCACUCACACUGGAACUGAGACACGGUCCAGACUCUUACGGGAGGCAGCAGUGGGGAAUAUUGGACAAUGGGCGAAAGCGUGAUCCAGCCAUGCCGCGUGUGUGAAGAAGGUUUUCGGAUUGUAAAGCACUUUAUGUUGGGAGGAAGGGCAUUAAGUUAUUACCUUGCUGUUUGGACGUUACCGACAGAAUAAGCACCGGUUAAUUCUGUGCCAGCAGCCGCGUUAAUACAGAGGGGCCAAGCGUUAUUCGGAAUUAUUGGGCGUAAAGCGCGCCUAGGUGGUUCGUUAAUUUGGAUGUGAAAGCCCCGGGUUCAACCUGGGAACUGCAUCCAAAACGGGCGAGUUGGAUUCCGGUGGAGGAAGGUGGAAUUUCCUUUGUAGCGGUGAAAUGCGUAGAUUUAGGAAGGACCCCCAGUGGGGAAGGGGACCUCCUGGACUGAUACUGCCAUUGAGGUGGGAAAGCGUGGGGAGCAACCAGGAUUAGUUACCUUGUUAGUCCACCCCUUAACCGAUAUCAAUUAGCCGUGGAAUCCUUGAGAUUUUAGUGGCGCAAGUUAACGCUAUUAGG